UACGGAGGGGACUAGCGUUGUUCGGAAUUACUGGGCGUAAAGCGCACGUAGGCGGAUCUUUAAGUCAGAGGUGAAAUCCCAAGGCUCAACCUUGGAACUGCCUUUGAUACUGGGGAUCUUGAGUCCGGGAGAGGUGAGUGGAACUGCGAGUGUAGAGGUGAAAUUCGUAGAUAUUCGCAAGAACACCAGUGGCGAAGGCGGCUCACUGGCCCGGUACUGACGCUGAGACGCGAAAGCGUGGGGAGCGAACAGG
rnacentral:rRNA from 1 species